rnacentral:lncRNA from 1 species
UCAGAUUAAGAUAUGUUAGAAUAUAUUAGACAAACUAGAGAAAAUCAAGAAAAUCUAAAUAAUGAAAUUAAUUAUAGAAACCGAAUUAGACAAAUAAUGAAAGACCUAAAAGAAAAAUUAGUAUGGAUAGAAAAAACCUUAGAAAAUUUAGAUAAAAGUACAUGUGAUAGUUUAUAUAAUUUAAAAAACUCACUACGAGAAGAACAACACAAAAUAAUAAAUAACAUUGAAAAUCUAGAAUUAGAUAUAUAUUAUAGCACAGAUAGGAUAAAUUAUUAUACAAGAAUUUGUAACUCUGUAAUUACUACAGGAUAAAAUAAUUAAUGAAUAUAUUUUACGAAAAAAGUAAAUUAUUAAAAGAUAACAUCCACGCACUAAAUAAAAAUAGAUUCCCUACAAAUAUGUACAAAAUCUAUUAUACCUACA